AGCAGACCCUGAGGACCGGCCCAGAGGAGCAGACCCUGAGGACCGGCCCAGAGGAGCAGACCCUGAGGACCGAACCCAGGGAGUGUCCGCCUUUUCAGGAGGAGUCAGAGAAGACCGAAAUAAACACGACUGUCAGUCAGAAUGUCUCCGUCCCACUGAUCAGUGUUUUACCUGACCUGGCUGAUGUCUCCAGCAUCACAUGCUCACCCUCCCAGCACCAGGAGUGGGGGGGCCAGGACAGACUUCACACCAGCCCCCUGAACAGACGGCCGCCACCCUGCAACAGCACCCCACGCAGCCCAGCAGCUGCACCCAAUUACAGAACCACAGAGGUCACUGGGGAGCCCAUCCCUCCCCCUCCCAGCCUGCUGGACACCUCUCACUGGAGCAGCAGCCGCUCCCAACCGCCCAACACGGAGAGCUUUGCCACUGCCAACCUGGGAGCCAUUAGCACGACGGACACGAUGAGAGACCUCUCCCUCCAAGAGAGUGACUCGGCCACAGGUCACCUACAGUUCAUCAUGGCCAGCUCCAGAGACAGACCGACCCCUGGAACAAGCCAAGAGGGGUUGGGCUCCACCUACAGCAUAGCAACUAGCCGCCAGGAGAAUGAGGAGGAGAGGGGCGAACUGAGUGAUCACUUUGAGGAGAACAAAGUUAAUUCUGUCGAAGGGCAGAGAGGGAUGUCACUGGAUGCAGGCGUUAAAAC
ensembl:lncRNA